rnacentral:rRNA from 1 species
AUUGAACGCUGGCGGCAUGCUUUACACAUGCAAGUCGAACGGUAACAGGCCUUCGGGCGCUGACGAGUGGCGAACGGGUGAGUAAUGCAUCGGAACGUGCCCAGUCGUGGGGGAUAACUAUCCGAAAGGAUAGCUAAUACCGCAUACGAUCUGCGGAUGAAAGCGGGGGACCUUCGGGCCUCGCGCGAUUGGAGCGGCCGAUGUCAGAUUAGGUAGUUGGUGGGGUAAAGGCUCACCAAGCCAACGAUCUGUAGCUGGUCUGAGAGGACGACCAGCCACACUGGGACUGGGACACGGCCCAGACUCCUACGGGAGGCGGCAGUGGGGAAUUUUGGACAAUGGGCGCAAGCCUGAUCCAGCAAUGCCGCGUGCAGGAAGAAGGCCUUCGGGUUGUAAACUGCUUUUGUACGGAACGAAACGGCUCUGGUUUAUACCCGGGGCUAAUGACGGUACCGUAAGAAUAAGCACCGGCUAACUACGUGCCAGCAGCCGCGGUAACAC